CAAUGGUCACUAAAACACAGUCAGCCUGUUGGUAAAACUAAGUUGUUCAAUGCUCUUUCUAGACAGAUUUGAAUUUUACUUGCAAACAUUAUAACAUGCAAAUUUCAUGUUUAUUUUUCAUUCAAGAGAGAAAAACCAUCAUGCUUAUUUGACAUAUUAAAUAAUUUAAACAUGCAAAAUAUAGAAUGACAGUGGGAAUUUAGUCAUUCAAAUAUCUGUCACUGAUCCAACACUGAUAACUUUUGGCAAGCUUUUAACAUACAUUUAAUCGAACAAAAAAGUAAAGAUAUUGUCUUAAAGAGCUGCAUGACCAAAGAAUAAAUUCUUCAUGGUAUAACUGCCUACAGCCUAAAAACCUUAUUACUUCUUAAUUCUCUGUGAUAUCAAUAACGAAAGUUUCUUACUUUCCAGGGCUCAGCCUACUUCAUGUUUUGGAAAUGAAGAUACAUUUCUGUAAAAUAACUAAAACCGAAACAUGAAAAAAACAAUCUAGCCAAAGAAACUUUUAGCAGCAUGUGGUAUCCAAUUCAAAUAGAAAGUACUAUAGAAAAUUCUAAUUCAAAUGGACUGAUUUUAAUCAGAGCCAAAAAAUUAGAGGGCAGAAAUAUAGAGAAGGUAAAGUAUAGAAACAAAAUGGUUCUUUUUGUACAAUAAUAGCUCUUUUGAGAGCAGAUAUCUAAUCUAGUAACCACUUUUUUUAAAGAUAGCAAUGAAACAGUAGCAAGAGGUCACAAAAUCCACGCACUUAAGUCUAAUCCAGUACUUCAGGUCUUCAGAGUCAACGUACUCUUACUUUAUACAUUACUCUAGCUGUCUUGGUCAUCUGGGUUCCAAAACCAAAGCUGACUAAGAGUAUUAUGAAGGUGGAGAAAGGCUAGUGCUACAGGCACACUUAAGCAAGCAGUAAAAUAAAUUGGAGGAAUCAGAACUAUUAGAAAACAAGAAACUGAAAACA